GGGUCACAUCCUGAUCUUGCCCUCAAAAAAUUGGUAGUAUCAUCGACCCCUUGUGCCCAGUCCCUUUCCCCCUUUCCACUGCUGGAAGGAGAGGAGAAGAACCAGGGUAUCUCCUUAGACACAGAAAUGGAAAGCACGUAUUAAGGAUGUGGAGCUACCCCAGCAGCCCUGACCUGCUGACCUCCAGACUGUGACAUGGAAACAGAUCAACUUCUCUCUUGGCAUUAAGUCUGACACUGGGGACAUCAAAACGGAUAACACAUGGCCCUGGAUCUCAAGGAACCUGCCGCCUGAUGGAAAAUAAAAGAGAGAGUCACACUUAAAUGAAUGAUUUCAGCAUAAUGAAUGUGACAAGUGAUAAGAUAAGGGAAUGCAUCCAGUAUCACUGCUUUUCCAAGGCUUCUCGAGGGGUAAAAAAUUACCCAGUGGGUAUUUG
rnacentral:lncRNA from 1 species